AUCUAUGAGUCGUGGAUAAUACGAAGUGUGAAGGCCAUUUUGCACGUGGUUUUUGGUGAAGGACAAAUGAUUUUUCUUUUGUGUUCGACGUUCCGGAGUUCAUCCAUUCUAAUCACAAUGGAAUCAUCUCACCGGUGUGUGUCCAUAGUGAAAAAAGAAGCUGAUGUUCACGACACUGACGAAUAGCAGUCAUAAAACGAGUUUGGAGAUCUUCAACUCUUCUGUUUCUUUUCAUCCUCCUUUUGGCCACCUGGAACAAAUUGGCGAGAGGAAAGCUGAAAAAGGACCUCAGAUGAUGGGGCAAUCAACACCUGGAUGAUGAUCCUCCCCUCUUCUGAUUAGAGAAAAGGUGUUGACGACGACUAAUGUACAACACAUGCAGCUUUGGAUGAGAAACUUAUGGUCCAUUUUCUUCUCCAGUGGCAAGCCUUCGACCACACUCGACGUAAAUGGAAGUAGAAUAUGACGAUAUCCAAUGAAGCAAAACACGAGAUUGUUUUGGUCCGAUUUCUUGGCCCGCCAUAACAAACCUGGCCAAUAACA